GCCGGGUUAGCACAGUGGUAGUGCAGCGGUUUUGUAAACCGAAGGCCGGGGUUCAAAUCCCUCACCCGGCACCA
rnacentral:tRNA from 1 species